UCCUGGUUAGCUCAGUUGGUAGAGCGCUCCACUUGUAAUGGAGAGGUCCCGGGUUCGAUACCCGGACCAGGCG
rfam:Ixodes scapularis strain Wikel colony gcontig_1108379707312, whole genome shotgun sequence.